rnacentral:rRNA from 1 species
UACGUAGGGUGCGAGCGUUGUCCGGAAUUAUUGGGCGUAAAGGGCUCGUAGGCGGCUUGUCGCGUCGGGAGUGAAAACUCAGGGCUUAACCCUGAGCCUGCUUCCGAUACGGGCAGACUAGAGGUAUGCAGGGGAGAACGGAAUUCCUGGUGUAGCGGUGAAAUGCGCAGAUAUCAGGAGGAACACCGGUGGCGAAGGCGGUUCUCUGGGCCUGUACUGACGCUGAGGAACGAAAGCGUGGGGAGCGAACAGG